rnacentral:lncRNA from 1 species
AUUGUAUCACCAUAUGAUGUUAAGCGAAAUAAUUUUUCAUCCUGGAAUGUUAUUCAUCAGACGGAAAAUCCUGUUUAUAUGAGGAUACGAUCUACUAUAAACUAGUUAGACAAACAAUAUACAUUGACCCAUACUGCAUAAGGGAAGUAUAACGAAGGUAAGUACGACGUGAUCAUUUAUUAUUUAAAAAAAAUGCAUUUUAUCUACAUGUGUAUUGCGAUAUAAGUUUUUUAGAAUUUAUGAUACAAAACCAAUACAAAUAGGACAAGCAUUUGUUGCAUAUCUUAAAUGUUUGGCAUUUUGGUCGGUGAUGAUACCUCUUGUUUUUAUCAGCCAAUAUUUGACAAAACAGGUUUUGAUAAUAUUGUAAGUUGUUAUCAGGGGAAUAUAUGACAGAAAAUGUUUGGUAAUAUUUUCAUUUGCUAUUAAGCAUGUUAAGAGUAAAACAAUAUAUUCGGUUAAUUAGUGGACUCUUUAUACAUAUAUGGACGUACGUCUUCAUUGGCACGGUUAAUAUUUGAAAUAUUUGUGAUUUAGUUUUAAAUGUGUUUUAUACAUUUCGUUUUUGUAACUUAACCUUGAAAGAAUGUUUAUUUUAUUACCUGUAAUCAUGCAUAUACAUGUAUUGUACAAGUUUUCCCCUUAUAUUAAAUUGUUUAAAAUUUCAAAUCGAUGAAUGCAAAAUGGGUGCUUCAUUUAUAUAUUCAGAUACAUGUAUACAUUUUAAUUUGAUAUUUGCCAAAACAUCUUUUAACAAAAGUUAAACAAGGAGUUUGCAAGCCAUCACUGGACAGUGAUAUAAUGUUACGGUUUCCCCAUUUGUAAAAAUAAUUCAUUACUAUGACAAACAAACUUUUUUAGAUAAUUAAAAAUAGUCAUAUACAAGGAUACAAUUAUAUAUAACGAAUUCAUUAUUUUACGUUAAAACGUGGAAGAGGUUCAACGGAAGAAAACAACACCAAAGAAAAUAAUCAACUAUCGUGUAAUCUUAAAAUACAAAGAAAAACUGAUUUAUUUAAUAAGUGCCAAAUAAAUCUGAAUGAAAAAGUUGGUAUCUUACUUUACCUUUUUGAAAUGUGAGUUUAUUGACAACACUUAAAAAAGGGAAAACAAUAAUUGUCAAAAUACCACGAUAUACAACUGACUUUUUUUACUUUACGUUAAGGCAUUUGGUUAAAUGUUUGAUAUAUUUGUUUCAAAAUAACAGGAAAUAGAUAUACUCCAAUUGAUUAUAAAGAAUGAGGGGCAUUAGUGCCCGGUUUUGGCUCACGGAAAUAAAAUGUCUGAUAAGUGUUUCAAAGUGGCACAUAAUGUUUAGAAAUGAAAAGGGUCAAGAAAUAUAAAUGAAAAACAUAAAGAUUUUUAUCUGAUGACGUCACAAUUAAGUCAUAAUAAGUACCGUUUUUACAAAAACGCUAAAAAAUACAGAAUUUAUGCAGUUUUCCAUCAAUAUGUACAUUGUGGAAACAUCUCCCGAUAAUUUCAGAAAAGCUUUAUUAUAACUUUUGACAUAAUCUCACAAAAUAUAAAGUUGUUUUUGGGUGUGCACAUACUUUUCCAAACUAAAAUCUACUUAAAAUUUGAUGAAAAACAGAAAAUCAGGAUUUUUUUUCAAAAUAUACAAAUUUAGUCAUAGUUUUCAGAUUUGAUUUCGUUCAACGUAAUCAGUACGAUAUUUUACGUUUGAAGUUAGAUUCAAAACAAACCGGACAUAGUUUUAUAAUAUAGUUAAUUGCUACCUUAGUUUGAUAUUAAUAAGUAUUAAAAUGUGCUUUGUUAUUAAAUGCAAAUAUCAGUAUUUAGUUCAAAUAUAUAAUCUUAAAUCAAUCCUAAUUCUAUCUUAUUCAUUCUUAUGUGACGUCAUUUUUCAUUUUUUGAUGAUCUGUUUUACGAAUUCUAAUGACGUCAUUUUUUCGUCAUUUUUCAGUUUCAAAUAGGACGUCACUUGGCGUAGAGCUUUAAACUUAUUCGGAUGUGUCUACUUUUGUGUUUCAAAUGUCUGGUUAUGUAAAUGUAUUUCAGUUGUUUCCUGUAAUUAGUUAAUACUUCAGUUUUAUCAUGUACAUCUUUUGAAUAUUCAUUUUAUAAAAUUUACUGUUUGCAAAAGUAUAAAUUAUUCUAAUUAUAGGAUUUUCUGGUAACUACAGAAAACCCUUGCCGUUUUGGCACAACCUUUUUGAUCUUUUGGUCCUCGAUGCUGUUCAACUUUGUACUCGUUUCGGCUUUCAAACUUUUGUAUCUGGGCGUCACACGUAGGUCUUGUGUGGACAACAUACACUUCUGGCGUAUUAAAAUUUUGAACUUGUUGCCUUUGUUGGCUGUUGUUCGUGUGAUUCUUUGUCAAGUGUGUUCUCCAAUUUAUUUAUAUUGUAGUCCUGUGUGUCAUUUUGAUGUUAUAUUUCACAUGGCCAUAAAAGUGCGAGGUUUGGCAUGCCACAAAACCAGGUUCAACCCACCAUUUUUCCUUUAAAAAUGCCCUGUACCAAUCGAAUAUGGCCAUUGUUAUAUAUAUAGUUCGUUUCUGUGUGUAUUACAUUAUAACGUUGUGUCGCUUGUUUUCUCUUAUUUUGAGUGUAAAUUCACAUGCGAAAAAGUGUCGCGUACUUGUCUAUCCCAAAUUCAUGUAUUUGGUUUUGAUGUAUAUAUAUAUAUAUAUAUAUAUAUAUUAUAUUUAUCUCGUGGGAUUUUAUUAUGUGUGUUACAUUAGUGUUAUGUCGUUUCCCUCGGUUUUAUUGUUACCCCGAUUUUGUUUUUUUUGUCCAUGGAUAUGAGUUUUGAACAGCGGUAUACUACUGUUUAACGCGUUCAAUAUUGAAUCUGUUUUUUUAUUUUCUGAAUACCUUGCACACAUGUACCUUAGUCUAGUGAGGACAAAUCUAUCAAUAUGUGUGAUACAAUGUAACUUUUUAAUUUGCGGUAAUAUAUUGGCCAAAUAAGGGUCUUAUUGCCCCUACUCCUUUGAUAAUGUUCAAUACAUCUAAAAAUAGAAUGCUCUCCAUACAUUUGAUCAUGUUCAUUACAUCUAAAAAGAGAAUGUUCUUCAUCAAUUUGAUCAUGUUUAAUACAUCUUAAAAUAGAACGCUCUCCAUAUACUUUUUGAAAAUGUUCAAACAUCUAUUAUUUUCUUUUAUUAUAUAACAAAUGUCUUUAAAUUUAAUUAUUCAGUUGAUUUUUUUAUCCAACUUUACCUACAAAACACAGAUCAAAAUGACCUUUUAGGGUACAAAACAAAAAUUCAAACUGUGACAUUGAAAAAGGAUUCUUGUACGAUCACCAGUUUCUCGUUCGAGUAGGCGAUAAAACAUCAUAGAACUUACAUUUAGAAUAAUAAUAAAAUCAUAUAAUUAGUAAUGCUUAUCUUAUGCAUGAAUAUCAUUGUAAUAUUUUCAGAUCGUCGAUUUAAAAAUGAAAUACUUUUUUGGAGAAACUAUUGUACUACUCCUGAUCCUAUCGUGUGGUAAAUACACACAAUCUUUUAUGAAACAUUUUAAAAAAAUUGAAAUAUUUAAAAGCUGGUCUACUAAAAAAUAAGAACCAAUCGAAAGUGCAGUCUGGAAGUCUGCCAAAGUCAAAGGACAAAAGACAACAAAGAUGAUAAGCAACAGUUCCAAUUCAUAUACAAAUAAAAUUACCCUCACCAGCAAUCAGAAGAUGACAUCCAAACUUCUAACACCAGUUGCAUAAAUUAAAACAUGCUGUUUUACUCUAUUCAAUUCGUUCCUACUCAUUUACGUUUUUGUACGUAAAAAUAUAAACAAUUCCAAACAAUUGUUGUUAUAAUAAUCUUUGUUUUGAUUAAAAAAUAAUUUUCUUGUUUGUUUGCUUAAUUCAAACAUAAGAUCUGUAUUUUCAAAGUAAAAGUUAAACGAUUUUUAACAUGUUCAGAUACUCACAAUUCAAAAAGUUUUAAACAUAUCUGACUUUUAAAGUUCGUUUCUAUAUAUGAAUGUUGCAUUGUUGUUUGUUUUUUGUUGCACUUCUGUGUUCUGUUAUUUCGUUGUUUUCCUCUUAUAGUUGAUGUGUUUCCCUUUGUUUUAAUUUUUAGGCUGGAUUGUUUUCUUUUAAUCGAUUUAUGACUUUUGAACAGCAAUAUACUACUGUUGCAUUUAUUUGAAUUACCUUCAAAUUUCAUGCAGCAUGUGUGAUCUACAUGAUUCUAUACUUAAAUCUAACAGACUAUAUUCAACCGGUAUGAAAUUGAAACAAAAACAAUAUUGCAGUAAUUAUUUAUUUUGCAAGGCAAACUAAGUUUGUUAAACAUUCACUUUUUAUAUCUAGAAGAGAGGGGAGUGGAGGCACAACCCAGACACAGCGACAAGGUAGUAAGAUGUCAAGGAUACAGCAAACAACAAACUUCAGAUUCAAAUACUUUGUGUGACAAUUGUUGCAGAAGACACUUUAAACAAUACGACCUCGGAAGCUGUUAUUUUAACGCAUGCCAUUGUUGGCAUUGGUUAACUUGAUUCACAAUGAAUACCAGUAUAAUUUAUAAUCACACCUGACA